CACUAAUUUAGAUGCCAACUCACAGUUGCGCAUGGCUGCUUAAAUAGCGGCCCGUUCAACCGGCUCAGCCUGCGGGGUCGGCUUGGGCGUCAACCAGCAGGCUACUUCCGAUCUGCCGCCCGGACUGCUCGGAGGGAAACAACAUCCUGGCUGGCUGACUGGUGAUCCUGUUGAUCGGAGCUUCAGUCAGCGAGACCCAAAUGAUCAACUACGCACGUAGACGCCUUUGCUGAAAUGUCUCGGGACGCGGGUUCGAUUCCCGCCGCCUCCAUAC
rnacentral:tmRNA from 1 species